rnacentral:rRNA from 1 species
UACGUAGGGGGCAAGCGUUGUCCGGAAUCAUUGGGCGUAAAGAGCGCGUAGGCGGCCCGAUAAGUCCGCUGUGAAAGUCAAGGGCUUAACCCUUGAAUGCCGGUGGAUACUGUCGGGCUAGAGUCCGGAAGAGGUGAGUGGAACUCCGUGAUGUAGAGGUGAAAUUCGUAGAUAUUCGGAAGAACACCAGUGGCGAAGGCGGCUCACUGGUCCGGUACUGACGCUGAGGUGCGAAAGCGUGGGGAGCAAACAGG